rnacentral:lncRNA from 1 species
CAUGAAGAUGGAUGGAAAGGUCACCCCUCAGCUGUGCUGGCUGCUUUGGGGACAGGAAUGGCGUUAUCCUGCAGGACAUGGGUAGGAACAGGCAGCCCUGGCCCUGAGCUGGGUCUCCCCUGUCCCCCAGGAGCUGCACCCUGGCUGCCCCUACGUCCAGAGGCACAGCAAGGAGAGCUGGUGGCAGUGCCCUGGGCCCAUCCCGGUGCCAUCACCCCCGGGACCUGCUGUUGCUGCUCAUCUCUCCCACCCCCAUCCUCCCAGCACAAUUCUCUCCUCUGGCCUUUCUUCUCCAUCAGCAACCUGCAGAGACGGGGCCGGUUGCUGGGGAGCUCACACCAACGGUAAAUGUCUCCGUGGUUAAGGGGCUGGGUUUGGCUCCUGCUGUGCCUGCAGCCACACGGCUGCACCACGGUGUCACCCCCGAGGAAGCUCCGGUAUUUGCUGGGGAGCCCCGCGAGGGCCCUGGGGACACGGAGCGUGCCACGGGCGCGGGGCGAGGCUGCGCUCCCCGACGGGCGGCCCCGAGGGCUGGGCGCGGAGCCCCCGGCCGAGCGCUGAGCCCAGCGGAUCGCCGGCACCGGCUGCGGGGCUGGGCUCGGGGAUCUCCCCCGGGGGGGUCCUCGGCUCCUGCGGCCGGCGGAGAGCCCCGGGCUCGGCGUGGAGCCUCGGCGAGCACCCGGGCACCCGGUGCCGCCUCUCGCCCCUCCGCGCCCCCCCCCCCCCCCCCAGCCCCGUCCCUGCCCGCCCGGGGGCUGCCGGUGCCCCGGGGCGGCUGCGGGGCGCCCCCGCCCGGCCGUUACCGGGGACCGGGGGGGUGCGGGGCGGCGGAGGCAGCGGGCCCGGUGCCGAAGAGGUUAACCCGGUGGGUUGGAGCCCGGAGCUCCGCGGGCCGCCCCAUUAUAAAGCGCCCCGCCGGCAGCGCCCGGUGCGCACGGAGCCGCCGCGCCAUGGAGCCGCCGGGCACCGCCGGGGCACCGGGCGCGGCGGGGCGGCCCUGGGAGGACGCCAAGGCUUUCUACGACAACCUCGCCCCCAAGAAGAAACCCAAAUCGGUGAGAGCCCCGGGAUGCGCCCCCGCCGCCGAGGUGGCCCCCAGCCCGGGGAGGGAGCCCCCGGCCCGGGGAGGGGGGUGGCUGCCCGGUACCCCCCGGGUGCGGUGCUCC